UGACUUACCUGGCAGGGGAGAUACCAUGGUUUUCCCAGGGUGAGGCUCAUCCAUUUCACUCCAGGUGUGCUGACCCUUGCAAUUUCCCUAAAUGUGGGAAACUCAACGGCGUUGUUUGUGUUAGUGGGGGACUGCAUUUGCGCUUCNNNN
rnacentral:snRNA from 1 species